rnacentral:rRNA from 1 species
UACGUAGGGCGCGAGCGUUGUCCGGAAUUAUUGGGCGUAAAGAGCUCGUAGGCGGUCUGUCGCGUCGGAUGUGAAAACCCAGGGCUCAACCCUGGGCCUGCAUUCGAUACGGGCAGACUAGAGUAUGGCAGGGGAGACUGGAAUUCCUGGUGUAGCGGUGAAAUGCGCAGAUAUCAGGAGGAACACCGGUGGCGAAGGCGGGUCUCUGGGCCAAAACUGACGCUGAGGAGCGAAAAGCGUGGGGGAGCGAACAGG